rnacentral:rRNA from 1 species
AGAGUUUGAUCAUGGCUCAGAUUGAACGCUGGCGGCAGGCCUAACACAUGCAAGUCGAACGGUAACAGGAAACAGCUUGCUGUUUCGCUGACGAGUGGCGGACGGGUGAGUAAUGUCUGGGAAACUGCCUGAUGGGGGGGGAUAACUACUGGAAACGGUAGCUAAUACCGCAUAACGUCGCAAGACCAAAGAGGGGGACCUUCGGGCCUCUUGCCAUCGGAUGUGCCCAGAUGGGAUUAGCUUGUUGGUGGGGUAACGGCUCACCAAGGCGACGAUCCCUAGCUGGUCUGAGAGGAUGACCAGCCACACUGGAACUGAGACACGGUCCAGACUCCUACGGGAGGCAGCAGUGGGGAAUAUUGCACAAUGGGCGCAAGCCUGAUGCAGCCAUGCCGCGUGUAUGAAGAAGGCCUUCGGGUUGUAAAGUACUUUCAGCGGGGAGGAAGGGAGUAAAGUUAAUACCUUUGCUCAUUGACGUUACCCGCAGAAGAAGCACCGGCUAACUCCGUGCCAGCAGCCGCGGUAAUACGGAGGGUGCAAGCGUUAAUCGGAAUUACUGGGCGUAAAGCGCACGCAGGCGGUUUGUUAAGUCAGAUGUGAAAUCCCCGGGCUCAACCUGGGAACUGCAUCUGAUACUGGCAAGCUUGAGUCUCGUAGAGGGGGGUAGAAUUCCAGGUGUAGCGGUGAAAUGCGUAGAGAUCUGGAGGAAUACCGGUGGCGAAGGCGGCCCCCUGGACGAAGACUGACGCUCAGGUGCGAAAGCGUGGGGAGCAAACAGGAUUAGAUACCCUGGUAGUCCACGCCGUAAACGAUGUCGACUUGGAGGUUGUGCCCUUGAGGCGUGGCUUCCGGAGCUAACGCGUUAAGUCGACCGCCUGGGGAGUACGGCCGCAAGGUUAAAACUCAAAUGAAUUGACGGGGGCCCGCACAAGCGGUGGAGCAUGUGGUUUAAUUCGAUGCAACGCGAAGAACCUUACCUGGUCUUGACAUCCACGGAAGUUUUCAGAGAUGGGAAUGUGCCUUCGGGAACCGUGAGACAGGUGCUGCAUGGCUGUCGUCAGCUCGUGUUGUGAAAUGUUGGGUUAAGUCCCGCAACGAGCGCAACCCUUAUCCUUUGUUGCCAGCGGUCCGGCCGGGAACUCAAAGGAGACUGCCAGUGAUAAACUGGAGGAAGGUGGGGAUGACGUCAAGUCAUCAUGGCCCUUACGACCAGGGCUACACACGUGCUACAAUGGCGCAUACAAAGAGAAGCGACCUCGCGAGAGCAAGCGGACCUCAUAAAGUGCGUCGUAGUCCGGAUUGGAGUCUGCAACUCGACUCCAUGAAGUCGGAAUCGCUAGUAAUCGUGGAUCAGAAUGCCACGGUGAAUACGUUCCCGGGCCUUGUACACACCGCCCGUCACACCAUGGGAGUGGGUUGCAAAAGAAGUAGGUAGCUUAACCUUCGGGAGGGCGCUUACCACUUUGUGAUUCAUGACUGGGGUGAAGUCGUAACAAGGUAACCGUAGGGGAACCUGCGGUUGGAUCACCU